rnacentral:rRNA from 1 species
UACGGAGGGAGCGAGCGUUGUCCGAAGUUACUGGGCGUAAAGCGCGCGUAGGCGGGGAAUUAAGUGAGAAGUGAAAGGCUGGGGCUCAACCUCAUGCAGUGCUUCUCAUACUGGUUCUCUUGAGGGCGGUAGGGAGAAGUGGAAUGGCUGGUGUAGCGGUGAAAUGCGCAGAUAUCAGGAGGAACACCGAUGGCGAAGGCAGCUCGCUGGGACGGUACUGACGCUGAGACACGAAAGCCAGGGGAGCGAACGGG